AUUGAACGCUGGCGGCAGCCUUAACACAUGCAAGUCGAGCGAGCGGCGGACGGGUGAGUAAUGUCUGGGAAACUGCCUGAUGGAGGGGGAUAACUAUUGGAAACGGUAGCUAAUACCGCAUACCAUCAGAUGUGCCCAGAUGGGAUUAGCUAGUAGGUGGGGUAAUGGCUCACCAAGACGACGAUCCCUAGCUGGUCUGAGAGGAUGACCAGCCACCCUGGAACGGAGACACGGUCCAGACUCCUACGGGAGGCAGCAGUGGGGAAUAUUGCACAAUGGGCGCAAGCCUGAUGCAGCCAUGCCGCGUGUGUGAAGAAGGCCUUCGGGUUGUAAAGCACUUUCAGCGAGGAGGCGUUGCUCGCAGAAGAAGCACCGGCUAACUCCGUGCCAGCAGCCGCGGUAAUUC
rnacentral:rRNA from 1 species